AUGCUUAAAAUUGACUUGGCUAAAGCUUUUGAUCGCCUUGAAUGGAACUUCAUUGUCUCUGCUCUGGCUCGUAAAGGGCUACAUGAUCAUUUCAUAAACUUGAUCUAUGCCUGCAUUUCCACACCUACUUCCUCUGUCAUCAUUAAUGGCCAACCUUCUCAUAAAUUUAAAAGUCAUAGAGGGAUUCGUCAGGGUUGCCCUCUGUCUCCUUAUCUUUUUGUUCUAGCUAUAAAUGAAUUGUCUCUUGCACUGAAUGAUGCCAUGGCUGCUAACCAUCUUCAGGGUAUUUCUCUUGGACGAAAUUGUCCUCCUGUUCACUCUCUUCUUUUUGCAGAUGAUCUUCUGGUCUGUGGACAAGCUAAUACAUCUGAAGUUAACACUAUGGCUAAUUAUUCAUCAUUUUUGUGUUAUUUCAGGUCAAACUCCUAACUGGUCAAAGUCCGCUAUUCUUUUCAGUGCCCAUGUUAG
rnacentral:rRNA from 1 species